UUUGGGGGGUGAUCUUGGACAUCAGAAUAGGAUGGAUGCCAGGAUCUCUCUCUUCAG
rnacentral:pre_miRNA from 1 species